rnacentral:tRNA from 1 species
GCGGGCGUAAUUCAUUGGUAGAAUGGCAGCUUCCCAAGCUGCAUAGGGGGGUUCGAUUCCCCUCGCCCGCUCCA